UCUCCGUAGGUGAACCUGCGGAGGGAUCAUUACAGAGUUCUCGCCCUCGCGGGUAGAUCUCCCACCCACUGUUAUCGUUACUGUGUUGCUUUGGCGGGCCGCCGGGCCCCGCUCGGCCGCCGGCUCCGGCUGGCGCGCGCCCGCCAGAGGCCCAGCAAACUCUGAAUGUUAGUGUCGUCUGAGUACUAUAUAAUAGUUAAAACUUUCAACAACGGAUCUCUUGGUCCUG
rnacentral:misc_RNA from 1 species